CCAGUGUCCCUCUAGUUAUGGUUGAUCUAUGCAAAGGGAGAGCAUCCAAGAAAUAAUAAGGGAAAAAACCCCUCCUCUCCCCCCCAAAAAAACACCAAAAAACCCAAACAAACAAACAAAAAAAAACAACCAAAAAGAACCCCCAAAAUCCAAACCCUUUACAAUUUAGAAUAUUAUGUGUUCAAGGGUCAGGCACUUCACUUUCUUCCACACGCAAGAACUCAAUCCCAGCUGAAGUGUAACCUUCAGCAGACACACCUGGCCUAGAAAUGAGGAUUCUCUGGGCCUGCUUCAAGUAAAACCCAGUUUAUCCUGUCCAGGAGGGAGGUAUUUUCCUCAUUUGCAAAGGGUUUUUAGAUUUAUGUUCUUUGUUAAAAAUACGGUAUAAGCAGCUAGUAGUGUAUUUUUGUGCUGGUUUUGAUACAUGUAGUCAGUUGAUCUACUUGUAUAUACUUUGAAAACUUGUCUGGGUGGGAUAUUAAAAUUCUUUAAUUUUGAGUUGUCUAAAUGCAUAUGUGUGUAUUAACAAGUAGAGGUACAAAAAUCAAUACAUUAAAUUAAUUAGAUUUUAGAUUGUACUUCAAAGUGCAAAUACCAAUUUAAGCAAGAACAGUAUUGCUUUCAGCAAAGCAGAAUUUUAUCCAAGUGUGAACAGGUGGAUUAAAUACAAUGAUAUUGGAAAAAUACUCAGCCUUUUAAUAUUUCAAUUUUUUCUUCUCUUGCAGGUAAAUGCCCCAAACAAUCAUCUUUGCUUUUGUUGUGACUGAUUGUUAUGCCUGGGAAAACGAGCUGCAUACAGGGCUGGUGUUCUGCAGCUCUGGGCACGGAGUGACUCAACAUCCUGGGAGAAAAGCUGUCCUGCCUGGGGGCUGCUCCCUGCAUGGGAGCUGAGAGCUGCCUGACCCUCCCAGGUACCUUUAUAUUGAGAGUACUCUUGGUUCUGGCACAGUGAGCUUCCCUUUCCCCCGAGCUGGCUGUAACAC
rnacentral:lncRNA from 1 species